rfam:Gossypium hirsutum cultivar TM-1 chromosome 22, whole genome shotgun sequence
CACGUCAGAGCGCUUUGCAGACGUGGACACAAAUCGCACUUCAGAUGGCGCAAUUUGUUGCCUUGUCAGCAAAGCGCACUGACGUGG